GGAACUUGAGUUUUUUUCUUUUUCUUCUUUGAUUUCAACCAAUUUUCACUCUCACUUGGGUAUCAGCUAUGGUUUUGAGGUGAGUCAGCUUAGUCAACCACUAGCGUUCUUUGGUUCCCAAUAAUAUGGCAGCUUUUUGAAUCCUUAAAUGUUGCAGGUCAAGCUAUUAUGAGUUCACAAGGCUGGCACACGGCACAGGUUUCCAGGCAUCUUCUAGGGCUGGAGGUUAGGAAUCUCAAUGGCCCUUAAAUAGAAAAGAUCCCUUGCAUUUAGUGCAGAAAAGACACAGAGACACCCUCCCACGAAGUUGUUUUAACUUGAAGGAUCACAUUAUUCAUCAUGAACAAUCUCUAAACUCAGUCAGCAGAAGCCUUCCUGGCACUUUCCUUGUGUAUACUUGGCUCCAUUUUAUGAAGACAGAACAGACUAUGUUU